rnacentral:tRNA from 1 species
GGGGCUAUAGCUCAGUUGGUAGAGCGCGACAAUCGCACUGUCGAGGUCAGGAGUUCGAUUCUCCUUAGCUCCA